rnacentral:rRNA from 1 species
CCUACGGGUGGCAGCAGUGGGGAAUAUUGCGCAAUGGGCGAAAGCCUGACGCAGCGACGCCGCGUGAGGGAUGAAGGUCUUCGGAUCGUAAACCUCUGUCAGCAGGGAAGAACGGUCACUGUGCUAAUCAGCAGUGAAUUGACGGUACCUGCAAAGGAAGCACCGGCUAACUCCGUGCCAGCAGCCGCGGUAAUACGGAGGGUGCGAGCGUUAAUCGGAAUUACUGGGCGUAAAGCGCUCGUAGGCGGUAUGUCAAGUCAAGGGGGAAAUCCCCGCGCUCAACGUGGGAACUGACUUUGAAAAUGGCAAACUGGAGUGUGUGGGAAGAAAGUGGAAUUCCCGGUGUAGGAGUGAAAUCCGGAGAUAUCUGGAGGAACAUCAGUGGCGAAGGCGACUAUCUGGCACAUAACUGACGCUGAGGAGCGAAAGCGUGGGUAGCAAACAGGAUUAGAUACCCUUGUAGUC